AUUGAACGCUGGCGGCAGGCCUAACACAUGCAAGUCGAGCGAGCGGCGGACGGGUGAGCAAUGUAUGGGGACUGCCUGAUAGAGGGGGAUAACUACUGGAAACGGUGGCUAAUACCGCAUACUAUCGGAGAACCCACAUGGGAUUAGCUAGUAGGUAGGGGAAAGGCUCACCUAGGCGACGAUCCCUAGCUGGUCUGAGAGGAUGAUCAGCCACACUGGGACUGAGACACGGCCCAGACUCCUACGGAGGCAGCAGUGGGGAAUAUUGCACAAUGGGCGAAAGCCUGAUGCAGCCAGGCCGCGUGUAUGAAGAAGGCCUUCGGGUUGUAAAGUACUUUCAGUGGGGAGGCGUUACCCACAGAAGAAGCACCGGCUAACUCCGUGCCAGCAGCCGCGGUAAUAC
rnacentral:rRNA from 1 species